GAUUAACGCUGGCGGCGUGCAUAACACAUGCAAGUCGAACGAUGAAACUUAAAUGAUUUCUUCGGAAUGAACUUAAGUGGAUUAGUGGCGGACGGGUGAGUAACGCGUGAGUAACCUGCCUUACACAAGGGGAUAGCCGUUGGAAACGACGAAUAAUACCCUAUGAAACUAUCACUUCGCAUGAAGCGAUAGUCAAAGUGUUAGCGGUGUAAGAUGGACUUGCGUCUGAUUAGCUAGUUGGUGAGAAAAAAGCCCACCAAGGCAACGAUCAGUAGCCGGCUUGAGAGAGUGUACGGCCACAUUGGGACUGAGACACGGCCCAGACUCCUACGGGAGGCAGCAGUGGGGAAUUUUGCACAAUGGGGGAAACCCUGAUGCAGCGACGCCGCGUGAUUAGAAGGCCUUCGGGUUGUAAAAAUCUUUUGUAUAGGAAGAAAAUGACAGUACUAUACGAAUAAGGUCCGGCUAAUUACGUG
rnacentral:rRNA from 1 species